AUUGAACGCUGGCGGCGUGCUUUACACAUGCAAGUCGAACGGUAACAGGGUGCUUGCACCGCUGACGAGUGGCGAACGGGUGAGUAAUGCGUCGGAACGUGCCGAGUAGUGGGGGAUAACGCAGCGAAAGUUGUGCUAAUACCGCAUACGUACUGAGGUAGAAAGUGGGGGACGUUCGGGCCUCACGCUAUUCGAGCGGCCGACGUCUGAUUAGCUAGUAGGGGAGGUAAAGGCUCACCUAGGCGACGAUCAGUAGCGGGUCUGAGAGGAUGAUCCGCCACACUGGGACUGAGACACGGCCCAGACUCCUACGGGAGGCAGCAGUGGGGAAUUUUGGACAAUGGGCGAAAGCCUGAUCCAGCCAUGCCGCGUGUCUGAAGAAGGCCUUCGGGUUGUAAAGGACCUUUGUCAGGGAGGAAAUCCCUAGCGUUAAUACCGCUGGGGGAUGACAGUACCUGAAGAAUAAGCACCGGCUAACUACGUGCCAGCCGCCGCAGUAACAC
rnacentral:rRNA from 1 species